rnacentral:misc_RNA from 1 species
UUCACGAUGUAAGUCAUUCUAGCAUUUCCCACAUUCAUAUUGAUGUUAAUGAAUCUAGAUAGAUAUAUAUGUCUAGAUUCAUUAACAUCAAUAUGAAUGUGGGAAAUGCUAGAAUGACUUACAUUGUGAA